UACGUAGGUGGCAAGCGUUGUCCGGAAUUAUUGGGCGUAAAGCGCGCGCAGGUGGUUCCUUAAGUCUGAUGUGAAAGCCCACGGCUCAACCGUGGAGGGUCAUUGGAAACUGGGGAACUUGAGUGCAGAAGAGGAAAGUGGAAUUCCAAGUGUAGCGGUGAAAUGCGUAGAGAUUUGGAGGAACACCAGUGGCGAAGGCGGCUCGCUGGACAGUGACUGACACUCAACUACGAAAGCGUGGGGAGCAAACAGG
rnacentral:rRNA from 1 species